UGUGGUCAUACAGGUGCUCCUGUUUCCCUGGUUCACAACCGGUCUGAGACACGAUAUUUUCAGUGAUUCAGUCCCUCAAGUCUGCAGUUAGAGCCAAGAGAGCUUGGAUUUUGAACCUAAGUUGCUGAAUUCAAUUUAAAAUCCUGUGGGUUUGGAGUAGACUGCAUUAAAGAAGCCCCGUUCUGUGUCCUGCUCACCUUAUCCUCGUCACAGGGACACAGCUUGUGCUGCCGGUGCUGGGUCUGCUGUGCUGCCUGUGAAGGAGCCUGGUAUGCAAGACAAUUUCCAGCUCAAGUUAAGACCCGGCAGGGAAAAAACAUCUCGUCAGUGGCCUUUUUGAGAACAGAGAUCACCAGCGUAGCGUCGGUGCUGCUGCCUCCAACACCUCUCGUCUCUUCAGUCUGUUCCCAAUGCAGAGGAGAUUCCUGGAAGGCAGACCAUGUCCCAGUGGUGCACAGCGUGCAUUUCCCCCGCCAUCAGCUCGCGUCUGGGACCUGCACCUUCAGCUUCCCAGUACCUCUGUGCUUCCACCCCGGCUCCAUGCCUGUGAGUCAGAUGCUGGCCAUUGCAUGACCUUCUUUGCCAGAUCCCCCAUAGCAGGGGAUAUUUUAAACUUACUCCUAAUGA